rnacentral:rRNA from 1 species
GCGGAUGAACUGUGGGUAGCGGAGAAAUUCCAAUCGAACCCGGAGAUAGCUGGUUCUCCCCGAAAUAGUUUUAGGACUAGCCUCAGGUUAGAUAUCUGGAGGUAAAGCACUGAAUAGCCUAGCGGCCGAGAGGUUAGCGAAGCUUAUCAAACUCAGAAUGCCAGAAUAUUGAUGCCUGGGAGUCAGACAGUGUCAGAUAAAUGUCAUUGUCAAAAGGGAAACAGCCCAGAUCUACAGCUAAGGUCCCAAAGUCAGGUUAAGUGGAAAACGAUGUGAAGAUACGCAGACAACCAGGAUGUUGGCUCAGAAGCAGCCACUCAUUCAAAGAGUGCGUAAUAGCUCACUGGUCGAGCGUCUUUGCGCGGAGAAUUUAACGGGGCUAAACCUGGCACCGAAGCUUAGGCAAUCCAGUAAUGGAUUGGGUAGGGGAGCGUUGUAUACGCGGCGAAACAGUAGCGCAAGCGGCUGUGGAGUGUAUAGAAGUGAGAAUGCCGGAAUGAGUAGCGCGAAUGCAGUGAGAAUCUGCAUGGCCGAAAGCCUCAGGUUUUUGGAGGAAGGUUCGUCCGCUCCAAGUUAGUCGGGAGCUAAGGUGAGGCCGAAAGGCGUAGCCGAUGCACAGACGGUAGAGAUUCCGUCACCACCAAAAGAGUUAAGCACAGGGACACAUAAGAAGUCUCAGAGCCGGGUGUUGGUUCCGGUAGAGAUCGAGGGAAAAUAGUACCGAAGUCUGGGAUGGAAGAUGGCGAGAAAAGCUGUGUGGAUUUCUGAGGUGCCCGUACCGCAAACCGACACAGGUAGGUAGGAAGAAGAUUCUAAGGCCAACGGGAGAAGGGUUGUUAAGGAACUCGGCAAAUUGACCCCGUAACUUCGGGAGAAGGGGUGCUCCAGAGAUGGAGCCGCAGAGAAUCGGCCCAAGCAACUGUUUACCAAAAACACAGGUUUGUGCUAAAUCGAAAGAUGACGUAUACGAGCUGACGCCUGCCCGGUGCUGGAAGGUUAAGAGGAGAUGUGCAAGCAUUGAAUCGAAGCCCCAGUGAACGGCGGCCGUAACUAUAACGGUCCUAAGGUAGCGAAAUUCCUUGUCAGGUAAGUUCUGACCCGCAUGAAAGGCGUAAUGAUUUGGGCACUGUCUCAACAGCCCGCCCGGCGAAAUUGUAGUACCGGUGAAGAUGCCGGUUACCCGCGACAAGACGGAAAGACCCCAUGGAGCUUUACUGUAGCCUAAUAUUGGGUUUCGAUGUUGCAUGCACAGGAUAGAUGGGACUCUGGGAAGUGAUCGCUUUGGCGGUCAUGGAGAGGACGUUGGGAUACCAUCCUUGCGAUAUUGGAAUUCUAACCUGCGGCUCUGAAUCGAGUCGGGGGACAUUGUUAGGUGGGCAGUUUGACUGGGGCGGUCGCCUCCUAAAGAGUAACGGAGGCGUUCAAAGGUUCGCUCAGCUUGAACGGAAAUCAAGCAAAAGAGUGCAAACGCAGAAGCGAGCCUAACUGCGAGACUGACGGGUCGAGCAGUAACGAAAGUUGGAGUUAGUGAUCCGGUGGUAUGUGAGUGGAAAUGCCAUCGCUCAACGGAUAAAAGUUACCCUGGGGAUAACAGGCUGAUCUCCCCCAAGAGUCCACAUCGACGGGGAGGUUUGGCACCUCGAUGUCGGCUCAUC